GACGAACGCUGGCGGCGUGCUUAACACAUGCAAGUCGAACGGAAAGACCCUGCUUUUGUGGGGUGCUCGAGUGGCGAACGGGUGAGUAACACGUGAGUAACCUGCCCUUGACUUUGGGAUAACUUCAGGAAACUGGGGCUAAUACCGGAGAGGAGCUCCUGCUGCAUGGGGGGGGUUGGAAAGUUUCGGCGGUUGGGGAUGGACUCGCGGCUUAUCAGCUGGUUGGUGGGGUAGUGGCGUACCAAGGCUUUGACGGGUAGCCGGCCUGGGAGGGUGGCCGGCCACAUGGGGCCUGCGGUACGCACCAGACUCGAAUGGGACGCAGCGGUCGAGAGCAUUACAGAGUGGGCGGGCGCCAGUGGCGACGACGCCGCGUGCGGGAUGCCCGCCUUCGGGGUGUGAACCGCUUUCGCCUGUGACGAGGCGUGAGUGACGGUAAUGGGUAAAGAAGCACCGGCUAACUACGUG
rnacentral:rRNA from 1 species